rnacentral:tRNA from 1 species
UGGGUGUGGCAGAAACUGCAUUGGACUUAAGACCCAAAGACGAACUCCGUUUCCACCCAU